UAACUAUGUAGCAGUCUGAUGGAGCACGCCGCGUGAGUGAAGAAGGCUUUCGGGUCGUAAAACUCUGUUGUUGGAGAAGAAUGGUCGGCAGAGUAACUGUUGUCGGCGUGACGGUAUCCAACCAGAAAGCCACGGCUAACUACGUGCCAGCAGCCGCGGUAAUACGUAGGUGGCAAGCGUUAUCCGGAUUUAUUGGGCGUAAAGCGAGCGCAGGCGGUUUUUUAAGUCUGAUGUGAAAGCCCUCGGCUUAACCGAGGAAGCGCAUCGGAAACUGGGAAACUUGAGUGCAGAAGAGGACAGUGGAACUCCAUGUGUAGCGGUGAAAUGCGUAGAUAUAUGGAAGAACACCAGUGGCGAAGGCGGCUGUCUGGUCUGUAACUGACGCUGAGGCUCGAAAGCAUGGGUAGCGAACAGGAU
rnacentral:rRNA from 1 species